GAUGAACGCUGGCGGCGUGCCUAAUACAUGCAAGUCGAGCGAACAGACGAGGAGCUUGCUCCUCUGACGUUAGCGGCGGACGGGUGAGUAACACGUGGAUAACCUACCUAUAAGACUGGGAUAACUUCGGGAAACCGGAGCUAAUACCGGAUAAUAUAUUGAACCGCAUGGUUCAAUAGUGAAAGACGGUUUUGCUGUCACUUAUAGAUGGAUCCGCGCCGCAUUAGCUAGUUGGUAAGGUAACGGCUUACCAAGGCAACGAUGCAUAGCCGACCUGAGAGGGUGAUCGGCCACACUGGAACUGGGACACGUUCCAGACUCCUACGGGAGGCAGCAGUAGGGAAUCAUCCGCAAUGGGCGAAAGCCUGACGGAGCAACGCCGCGUGAGUGAUGAAGGUCUUCGGAUCGUAAAACUCUGUUAUUAGGGAAGAACAAAUGUGUAAGUAACUAUGCACGUCUUGACGGUACCUAAUCAGAAAGCCACGGCUAACUACGUG
rnacentral:rRNA from 1 species